GCUUUGGCGUUGCAGGAAUUUUUUUUUGGCACCAAAUUAUUUGCACGAAUUUUUUUUUCCAUGAAACUAGAAGUUUUCUUAACAAAGCACAAGUAACGUAUUGAAUGAAGGAAAACACUCAAAUAAAAAUGUGAACAUUUGUUAUACAACUGAGUCUGAAAUGUUGGCAAUUUCUCGAAAAGUCUGAUUCCGGCAUCUAUACUAAAUUCCGGCAUCUAUACUAAAUUCCGGCAUCUAACUAAAUUCAUGCAUGCAUGAUGGCAUUUUAGAUUUAUCGAGUUUUACUAAUACAGGCAGCAAGAGAUUUGUUGUUCGCGUAUUAACAAUUUGACAGUCGUGUGAAUAGGAAUAUGUGCCAUAAUAGGUAAUUUUUGAGGGGGUAUUUUGGCAGUCGUCACACAACGUCACAUAGGGGUAGGGGGUCUGAAAAAUUGACUAAAAUAGCGUCACCUAUUUUGUGAACGGCCCCUAAACUAUAUUUUAUAAUUUCAAAUGUUUUUGUUGAUAUUGUGUACGAUCUAUACAGUUUUCAUGUUUAUAUUAAGAAAAAGACUAACUAUUUUCUGUUCUUUCAAUAAAUAAUGUGAUUAAAUUCCUUGAACAAUUACUUUUGAAAAGUUGUAGAAAACUAUUAUAUAUUUUAAUACAGCCAUGGAGUCAAAAGACAAAGAUCUCUCAUUUUCCUCAGACCUAGCCCCACCCAUUCACCCAAAGCCAAACCCCAAUACCAGACUUUUUAUUAAAAACACAUAUUUUAUACAAAAUACGUUUUCAAGUUCAAGUUCCAAUUUAUUUUACGAAUUU